AAGGGGAGUAGCUUCUGGGGUCUGACUUCUUUCAAACAGGACCAGGCCCCAGGAGAAAGGGCCCAUCAAGUCCCCUUGGUGUAAUGGAUAGAACAUAGAUUUGGAGUCAGGAGGACCUGAGUUCAACUCUGACCUCAAAUACUUACUAGCUGGGUGACCAUGGACUUCAGGUUGUUUAUUUAUAAAAUUAGGGGGUUGGGCUCAAUGACUUUCAAAGUCUACAAUCUAAACCAUGAUCCCAGAAGUCAUUACUGCCAGCAAUAGGAGUCCUCACCAGACCUGGGAGCCUGAAAUCCCCUUUAUACCUGAAGAGUGCUUCAGUGCAAAAUGCCAUGCGUUGCCUCAGAAACACUCCAAAUGCCACUUCCCAGACUGCAGUCCUGGCCAGCCCCGAUGCUUUCAGAAACAGAAGCAAGAUGAACCCCACUGAAGGGCUGGCAGCCUGUCCUCUACACAUGAGUCUCUAAAGGUCUGAGUUAAAGUCAAACUGCCCCCACCCUUCAGGGUAACUUCAGGAGAACUGGGAAGAAGGUGGAGCCAGCACACAUCGGAGGUGGCAUGAAAGGGUGAGGAACAGCAAAGGCCCCGAAUGACAGGCUCAGGAUCCGAAGCGAGCAGCAGCUAGAGGCAAUGGGCCACAAUUAACAGGAUGACUGUGUACCAGCGAGGGCCUCCUGGAGUCCUCAGAAAGAUCUGGGGUUUCCUCAGUGAGGUGGAGGGAAAACUUCUGUGAGUGGGAGGAGUUGCCUGUAGCAAAUAGAAAUUAAAUGACUUGCCCAGGGUCACAUAAACAGCAAAGAUGGUAUUUGAACCCUGUUUUUCUUGACUCCAAACUCAACCCUAUACCAUUAUCCCACGGUACCUCCUGAAGUCUUAUAUUUGAGUAAUGUUGAAGUACACGUUGAAAGGUGGAGGAUGAGGCUAGAAAGACAUUCAUGGAAAAAGAUCUGGGGAUUUGGGUGGACCACAAGCUCACUGAAUUAAGAUUAUGACAUGGCAGCCCCCCAAAAGUAAUGGGAUAUUGGAUGGCCAUGGGAAAGGAGGGAAAAGGGGGAAG
rnacentral:lncRNA from 1 species